GCGGUUUGUCGCGUCUGCUGUGAAAUCCCGAGGCUCAACCUCGGGCCUGCAGUGGGUACGGGCAGACUAGAGUGCGGUAGGGGAGAUUGGAAUUCCUGGUGUAGCGGUGGAAUGCGCAGAUAUCAGGAGGAACACCGAUGGCGAAGGCAGAUCUCUGGGCCGUAACUGACGCUGAGGAGCGAAAGGGUGGGGAGCAAACAGGCUUAGAUACCCUGGUUAGUCAACCCGGUAACACGUUGGGGAACUAGUUGUGGGGUCCAUUCCCACGGAUUCCGUGACGCAGCUGACGCAUUAAGUUCCCCUCCUGGGAGUACGGCCGCAAGGCUAAAACUCAAAGGAAUUGACGGGGACCCGCACAUGCGGCGGAGCAUGCGGAGUAAUUCGAUGCAACGCGAAGAACCUUACCCAAGGCUUGACAUAUACGAGAACGGGCCAAGAAAUGGUCAACUCUUUGUACACUCGUAAACAGGUGGUGCAUGCUUGUCGUCAGCUCGUGUCGUGAGAUGUUGGGUUAAGUCCCGCAACGAGCGCAACCCUCGUUCUAUGUUGCCAGCACGUAAUGGUGGGAACUCAUGGGAUACUGCCGGGGUCAACUCGGAGGAAGGUGGGGAUGACGUCAAAUCAUCAUGCCCCUUAUGUCCAGGGCUUCACGCAUGCUACAAUGGCCGGUACAAAGGGCUGCAAUACCGUGAGGUGGAGCGAAUCCCAAAAAGCCGGUCCCAGUUCGGAUUGAGGUCUGCAACUC
rnacentral:rRNA from 1 species